rnacentral:rRNA from 1 species
AUAGCUGCUAGUUCGAGGCGACGGCGCACGGGUGAGUAACACGUAUCCAACCUACCCAUGACUCGGGGAUAGCCUUUCGAAAGAAAGAUUAAUACCCGAUGGUAUAUAUUUCCUGCAUGGGAGAUAUAUUAAAGAAUUUCGGUGAUGGAUGGGGAUGCGUUCCAUUAGUUUGUUGGCGGGGUAACGGCCCACCAAGACUUCGAUGGAUAGGGGUUCUGAGAGGAAGGUCCCCCACAUUGGAACUGAGACACGGUCCAAACUCCUACGGGAGGCAGCAGUGAGGAAUAUUGGUCAAUGGACGAGAGUCUGAACCAGCCAAGUAGCGUGAAGGAUGACUGCCCUUUGGGUUGUAAACUUCUUUUAUAUGGGAAUAAAGUGGGGUAUGCAUACCCUUUUGUAUGUACCAUUAUGAAUAAGCAUCGGCUAACUCCGUGCCAGCAGCCGCGGUAAUACGGAGGAUGCGAGCGUUAUCCGGAUUUAUUGGGUUUAAAGGGAGCGUAGGUGGGUGAUUAAGUCAGUUGUGAAAGUUUGGGGCUCAACCUUAAAGUUGCAGUUGAUACUGAUUGCCUUGAGUGCGUUAAAGGUGGGCGGAAUU